rnacentral:sRNA from 2 species
CUGUCUCUGGGAUGUUCGCCAGCCGGUCUGAUUCCCCUGAGCCGAUAUCAUCUCUUUAGGAUGGUGUUCUGCAUAUUUAGAGCGUAUGCCUACCCCGAGUAGGAAACCCAGCAAGUAUGCGUCACCUCCACCU